GACGAACGCUGGCGGCGUGCUUAACACAUGCAAGUCGAACGGUGAAGCGCUUUCCUUUUUGGUUGGUGUGGAUGAGUGGCGAACGGGUGAGUAACACGUGAGUAACCUGCCCCCUUCUUCUGGAUAACCGCAUGAAAGUGUGGCUAAUACGGGAUAUUCUGCGCCUGCUGCAUGGUGGGUGUGGGAAAGAUUGUGCCUUUGGGUGUUUUCGGUGGGGGAUGGGCUCGCGGCCUAUCAGCUUGUUGGUGGGGUGAUGGCCUACCAAGGCGGUGACGGGGAGCCGGCCUGAGAGGGUGGACGGUCACACUGGGACUGAGACACGGCCGAGACUCCUACGGGAGGCAGCAGUGGGGAAUAGUGCACAAUGGGCGCAAGCCUGAUGCAGCGACGCCGCGUGAGGGAUGGAGGCCUUCGGGUUGUGAACCUCUUGCGCCAGAGAAGCAGGCCUGCUCGUUGUGGGUGGGUUGACGGUAGCUGGAUAAGAAGCGCCGGCUAACUACGUG
rnacentral:rRNA from 1 species